rnacentral:misc_RNA from 1 species
UUUCCGUAGGUGAGCCUGCGGAAGGAUCAUUAUUGUAUAACCGAGGUGCGAGGGCUGUCGCUGACCCGAAAGGUCGUGCACGCCCGAGUGCCCUCACACAUCCAUCUCACCCCUAUGUGCACCACCGCGUGGGUCCCCCUUUGGCUUGUUCGGAGGGGGGCUUACGUUUUCACACAAACUUUGUAUGCAGUGUAGAAUGUAUUUUUUGUUUUUGCAAUCACGCAAUCAAUACAACUUUCAACAACGGAUCUCUUGGCUCUC